rnacentral:rRNA from 1 species
UACGAAGGGGGCUAGCGUUGCUCGGAAUCACUGGGCGUAAAGCGCACGUAGGCGGCUUUCUAAGUCAGGGGUGAAAUCCUGGAGCUCAACUCCAGAACUGCCUUUGAUACUGGAGAGCUCGAGUCCGGAAGAGGUGAGUGGAACUCCGAGUGUAGAGGUGAAAUUCGUAGAUAUUCGGAAGAACACCAGUGGCGAAGGCGACUUACUGGACACAUAUUGACGCUGAGACGCGAAAGCGUGGGGAGCGAACAGG